AUUGAACGCUGGCGGCAUGCUUUGCACAUGCAAGUCGAACGGUAACAGGCCGCAAGGUGCUGACGAGUGGCGAACGGGUGCGUAAUGCAUCGGAACGUGCCCAGUCGUGGGGGAUAACUACUCGAAAGAGUAGCUAAUACCGCAUACGAUCUAUGGAUGAAAGCGGGGGACCGUAAGGCCUCGCGCGAUUUGAGCGGCCGAUGCCAGAUUAGGUAGUUGGUGGGGUAAAGGCUCACCAAGCCAACGAUCUGUAGCUGGUCUGAGAGGACGACCAGCCACACUGGGACCGAGACACGGCCCAGACUCCUACGGGAGGCAGCAGUGGGGAAUUUUGGACAAUGGGCGCAAGCCUGAUCCAGCAAUGCCGCGUGCAGGAAGAAGGCCUUCGGGUUGUAAACUGCUUUUGUACGGAACGAAACGGCUCUGGUUAAUACCCGGGGCUAAUGACGGUACCGUAAGAAUAAGCACCGGCUAACUACGUG
rnacentral:rRNA from 1 species